rnacentral:rRNA from 1 species
GAUGAACGCUGCCAGAAUGCUUAACACAUGCAAGUCCACUUGAAUUUGGGUUUUUACCUUAGGUUUGGGUGGCGGACGGGUGAGUAACGCGUAAAGAACUUGCCUCACAGCUAGGGACAACAUUUGGAAACGAAUGCUAAUACCUAAUAUUAUGAUAAUAGGGCAUCCUAUAAUUAUGAAAGCUAUAAGCGCUGUGAGAGAGCUUUGCGUCCCAUUAGCUAGUUGGAGAGGUAACGGCUCACCAAGGCGAUGAUGGGUAGCCGGCCUGAGAGGGUGAUCGGCACAAGGGGCAUAAGGCAGGGACCAGACCUCAAGCGGGGGGAAGGGGUGGGAAAUAUAGAAAGAAGGGCCAAGGGUAUGAACAAGGAAUUCGGGGUGCAGAAUGAGUUUUUUCGGAAUGAAAAGGUUUUUGUGAAGAAAAGAAGAAAAUGACGGUACCAAAAGAAGAAGUAACGGCUAAAUACGUG